rnacentral:rRNA from 1 species
ACAAUGAAGAGUUUGAUCCUGGCUCAGGAUGAACGCUAGCUACAGGCUUAACACAUGCAAGUCGAGGGGCAGCAUUUCAGUUUGCUUGCAAACUGGAGAUGGCGACCGGCGCACGGGUGAGUAACACGUAUCCAACCUGCCGAUAACUCGGGGAUAGCCUUUCGAAAGAAAGAUUAAUACCCGAUGGUAUAAUCAGACCGCAUGGUCUUGUUAUUAAAGAAUUUCGGUUAUCGAUGGGGAUGCGUUCCAUUAGGCAGUUGGUGAGGUAACGGCUCACCAAACCUUCGAUGGAUAGGGGUUCUGAGAGGAAGGUCCCCCACAUUGGAACUGAGACACGGUCCAAACUCCUACGGGAGGCAGCAGUGAGGAAUAUUGGUCAAUGGGCGCAGGCCUGAACCAGCCAAGUAGCGUGAAGGAUGACUGCCCUAUGGGUUGUAAACUUCUUUUAUAUGGGAAUAAAGUUUUCCACGUGUGGAAUUUUGUAUGUACCAUAUGAAUAAGGAUCGGCUAACUCCGUGCCAGCAGCCGCGGUAAUACGGAGGAUCCGAGCGUUAUCCGGAUUUAUUGGGUUUAAAGGGAGCGUAGGUGGACAGUUAAGUCAGUUGUGAAAGUUUGCGGCUCAACCGUAAAAUUGCAGUUGAUACUGGCUGUCUUGAGUACAGUAGAGGUGGGCGGAAUUCGUGGUGUAGCGGUGAAAUGCUUAGAUAUCACGAAGAACUCCGAUUGCGAAGGCAGCUCACUGGACUGCAACUGACACUGAUGCUCGAAAGUGUGGGUAUCAAACAGGAUUAGAUACCCUGGUAGUCCACACAGUAAACGAUGAAUACUCGCUGUUUGCGAUAUACAGUAAGCGGCCAAGCGAAAGCAUUAAGUAUUCCACCUGGGGAGUACGCCGGCAACGGUGAAACUCAAAGGAAUUGACGGGGGCCCGCACAAGCGGAGGAACAUGUGGUUUAAUUCGAUGAUACGCGAGGAACCUUACCCGGGCUUAAAUUGCAUUUGAAUAUAUUGGAAACAGUAUAGCCGUAAGGCAAAUGUGAAGGUGCUGCAUGGUUGUCGUCAGCUCGUGCCGUGAGGUGUCGGCUUAAGUGCCAUAACGAGCGCAACCCUUAUCUUUAGUUACUAACAGGUCAUGCUGAGGACUCUAGAGAGACUGCCGUCGUAAGAUGUGAGGAAGGUGGGGAUGACGUCAAAUCAGCACGGCCCUUACGUCCGGGGCUACACACGUGUUACAAUGGGGGUACAGAAGGCAGCUACCUGGUGACAGGAUGCUAAUCCCAAAAGCCUCUCUCAGUUCGGAUCGAAGUCUGCAACCCGACUUCGUGAAGCUGGAUUCGCUAGUAAUCGCGCAUCAGCCAUGGCGCGGUGAAUACGUUCCCGGGCCUUGUACACACCGCCCGUCAAGCCAUGAAAGCCGGGGGUACCUGAAGUACGUAACCGCAAGGAGCGUCCUAGGGUAAAACUGGUAAUUGGGGCUAAGUCGUAACAAGGUAGCCGUACCGGAAGGUGCGGCUGGAACACCUCCUUU